rnacentral:rRNA from 1 species
UACGUAGGGUGCGAGCGUUAAUCGGAAUUACUGGGCGUAAAGCGUGCGCAGGCGGUUCGUUGUGUCGGUGGUGAAAGCCCCGGGCUUAACCUGGGAAUGGCCAUGGAAACUGGCGAACUGGAGUGUGGCAGAGGGGGGGUGGAAUUCCGCGUGUAGCAGUGAAAUGCGUAGAGAUGCGGAGGAACACCGAUGGCGAAGGCAGCCCCCCUGGGCCAAUACUGACGCUCAUGCACGAAAGCGUGGGGAGCGAACAGG